GUGCUUUCCUUCUGUCACUGGCAUCCCGUCGUGCGCCGUCACGCCCUCAGGCCUGCCCUCCACCCGACGUAUGUUUCAGGGUCAAGGUCGGGGGUGCAAGAACAGAUUGGCGGUGAGCGCCCAGCCCAACGUCACUCGAGCGUCAAGAUCCCCACACCGACUCCUACGACGACGACGAUUAUAGCAGAACCUGGCGGAGCGAUAGGCAAGCAAGAACAUAUCGCUGUCCAUCUCCUCUUUCAUUUUUUCCUAUUUCCAACGAUCAUCUAUUCAUCAUUGUUCCGGCGGAGGUAGAAAAGAGGUGGUUUUGCUGUUUACGGUUUGCAUACGUGGUCCUCGCCGGCGGCCGGCGGGCAGCGGGUCGACGAUGAAGCUGUAGGCCGCGUCGGUGGCCGUAAGCGCCAUGUGGAAUGGCCACGCCGACCCUCGCCGCGCGCCGCCUCGCAUCCAUGCUGACAUCACCACCACCGGAUCCCUCGCCCCCGGCCACGCCGGAGCCGCCGCCACCGCGGAGCAAUGAUGAAGAGAUCGCCGCCUUCCUCCGCUGCCAUGACAUCGUGGGAUGCUGCUUCGCUGCCGUCUCGCCGCUGCUGCAAGCUGCCGAGGCUAAAAACGGGUCUCCAAAGGCUCCGUUAUUUUACUUAUGCAUGAUACGUUUUCGAUACACAUCCCCGUGUGCUGCCAAUACUCAUUUUGCUUUUAAAUCUAUGUGGCUCUCUUAAUUUAUGUGCAACGUCCAAAGUGUGUCGAAAUUCAUGAUGUUUCUCAUUUGGCCUGAUGCAUUGCCAUCAAUCUAACUAUGCUUCACUGGUUUCUUGGGUCUUAGGUGUAGAUUUUUAAGCUAAGUCUGGUUCGUGUUAACCUAUCUUGAUUUUCAAUUAGUUAAAUAUAUAUUUUAGCAGUACUCUACUAUGCUUUGGUGCACGUGUAUAUGACUAUAUGAGGUUCUUGAUUUUGGUCCAAUGAACUUUGCAGACACUUGAUUACCUGAGCGGUUAGUAGAAAGAGCUAUUUCAUGGUUGUCAGGUAAUCGCAUACCAUUAUAAACAUUAAAAUGGAUUGUUUUAACCAUACACAUACACGUGUGAACUGACUUCGUUUAUCAUAUUGGUCUUUAUAAUAUUAGAAAUAGAAUACCACAAAGGUGAUAAUUGUUUCCUACCGAUGGACCAUCGUUUUCCACUUGGUGAUGAGACAAACAUAACAACCUCCAAUUCUCGACGUAUUCGUAAAAGAUCAAGACCAGAGUUUGGUCGACCUGGUUUGUUAGUAGAAGAAACAGCUGCUAGCAUGUUAUACUUAUAUGUUUUUUUUUAUCCAUAUUACUUGGUUUGGUUUUGCCUGGUCUUCGUUAGUUUUGACCAUGGUAUUUUAAAGUUGCAGGUGGUGAAGAAAUUGAAAAUGUUGAUGCAGCAAUAGCAGAACAUAAAAGGAAAGAAAGAAGGGAUAAUUAUGCCAAUUUGCUGGAGGAGGAAAAGGAGAGGAGGCGUGCAAAGGCCAGCGAAAAUUAUCAUCGUAAUAAGACCGAGGGCAAAACAAGCACUACGCCGCAACACUUAACAGGCACAACUUACACAGAAUUAGGUCAAUGUCAUGGACAUCACAGCUUUCAAGUGCCUAGACUGUUAUCACCGGGUUACCACCAUGUUUGCCUGGUAGAGGUAUUAUAUUUUUAGAACAUGGAAUUUCAAAAUGCUUUCAAAUUGCUAUGAACAUGAUUUUUUGAGAAUAA